CUCCUUAAUCUUAUCUGCCUCAAUCUAUUGGGCAUAAGUCAUCAGCCUAGAAAGAUUCAUCUCACUAUUCAGCAUAGCAGACCUACACUCCUUAACCACAUAACUAGACACUCCAGUCACAAACUUACUCAUACUAGCAUGAUUAUCAGCCACUAAGUCAGGAGCAUACUUGGCUAACUGAUUGAAAUUUAGAUAGUACUCACUAACAGUCAUAGAGCCCUGUCGCAGGUUCAUAAACUCUUCCUCCUUCUCCUCCCUCAUCUCCAAAGGGAAAAACUUAUCUUGGAAUGCAUCUAGGAACUCUUGCCAAGGUGUAGGGACAGCUCCCUCACCUCUACCUUUCCUCCAAGCAACAACUCAGUCAUAAGCAAGGUCUUUCAACCUAUAUGCAGUCAACUCCACACUAUGUUCCUCAGAUACAUGCAUCACCUGAGUAAUCUUCCGCACCUCCUCUAAAAACAACCGUGGAUCCUCAUCAGACUUGGACCCAUAGAAUUCCGACGGAUUCAUCCGCAUGAAGUCACGGAUUCUGGAAGCAGCUGAAUUACCUCUAUGCUACUGUGGAGCCAGGGCCAGGUUGGCCUGAACAUUUGUAGUAACAGCUUAGGCCAGCGCCUGAAAGGCUGCCCGAAAUUCAGCAUAAGACAUGUUUUCAUUCAAUGGGUCAGCGGGUUGAGGUUGCUGACCAUCAUUAUUUCUUCUCGCUCGAUGUGGAGGUAUAUUUC
rnacentral:lncRNA from 1 species